UACGGAGGAUCCAAGCGUUAUCCGGAAUCAUUGGGUUUAAAGGGUUCGUAGGCGGCCUUAUAAGUCAGCGGUGAAAGUUUGCAGCUUAACUGUAAAAUUGCCAUUGAUACUGUAGGGCUUGAAUUUUUGUGAAGUAACUAGAAUAUGUAGUGUAGCGGUGAAAUGCUUAGAUAUUACAUGGAAUACCAAUUGCGAAGGCAGGUUACUAACAAACGAUUGACGCUGAUGGACGAAAGCGUGGGUAGCGAACAGG
rnacentral:rRNA from 1 species